UUUCAUGAGAGUUUGAUCCUGGCUCAGGACGAACGCUGGCGGCGUGCCUAAUACAUGCAAGUCGAGCGAACCGACGAAGUGCUUGCACUUCUGACGUUAGCGGCGGACGGGUGAGUAACACGUAAGGAACCUACCGAUAAGCGGGGGACAACAUCCGGAAACGGGUGCUAAUACCGCAUAGGAAACAUCACCUCAUGGUGGUGUUUGGAAAGACGGCUUUGCUGUCACUUAUCGAUGGC
rnacentral:rRNA from 1 species